GGGUUGUGAGGUUAAGCGACUAAGCGUACACGGUGGAUGCCCUGGCAGUCAGAGGCGAUGAAGGGCGUGCUAAUCUGCGAUAAGCGCCGGUAAGGUGAUAUGAACCGUUAUAACCGGCGAUACCCGAAUGGGGAAACCCAGUGUGACUCGUCACACUAUCAUUAACUGAAUCCAUAGGUUAAUGAGGCGAACCGGGGGAACUGAAACAUCUAAGUACCCCGAGGAAAAGAAAUCAACCGAGAUUCCCCCAGUAGCGGCGAGCGAACGGGGAGGAGCCCAGAGCCUGAAUCAGCAUGUGUGUUAGUGGAAGCGUCUGGAAAGGCGCGCGAUACAGGGUGACAGCCCCGUACACAAAAGCGCAUGUGCUGUGAGCUCGAUGAGUAGGGCGGGACACGUGGUAUCCUGUCUGAAUAUGGGGGACCAUCCUCCAAGGCUAAAUACUCCUGACUGACCGAUAGUGAACCAGUACCGUGAGGGAAAGGCGAAAAGAACCCCGGCGAGGGGAGUGAAAAAGAACCUGAAACCGUGUACGUACAAGCAGUGGGAGCCCCACCACUAAGCCAGUGGUGAACUCCACAUCCGCAUCCUUUGCUGAGGAUACGGUUAACGGAGCGAAAGCGACGUUCAACCGCAAAACAAGCAGAGGGGGCUUAGUGGUGGGGUGACUGCGUACCUUUUGUAUAAUGGGUCAGCGACUUAUAUUCUGUAGCAAGGUUAACCGUAUAGGGGAGCCGGAGGGAAACCGAGUCUUAAUUGGGCGUUAAGUUGCAGGGUAUAGACCCGAAACCCGGUGAUCUAGCCAUGGGCAGGUUGAAGGUUGGGUAACACUAACUGGAGGACCGAACCGACUAAUGUUGAAAAAUUAGCGGAUGACCUGUGGCUGGGGGUGAAAGGCCAAUCAAACCGGGAGAUAGCUGGUUCUCCCCGAAAGCUAUUUAGGUAGCGCCUCGUGAAUUCAUCUCCGGGGGUAGAGCACUGUUUCGGCUAGGGGGCCAUCCCGGCUUACCAACCCGAUGCAAACUGCGAAUACCGGAGAAUGUUAUCACGGGAGACACACGGCGGGUGCUAACGUCCGUCGUGAAGAGGGAAACAACCCAGACCGCCAGCUAAGGUCCCAAAGUCAUGGUUAAGUGGGAAACGAUGUGGGAAGGCCCAGACAGCCAGGAUGUUGGCUUAGAAGCAGCCAUCAUUUAAAGAAAGCGUAAUAGCUCACUGGUCGAGUCGGCCUGCGCGGAAGAUGUAACGGGGCUAAACCAUGCACCGAAGCUGCGGCAGCGAACGUAUCACCCAAGACAACUUUACGGAGUUGACGAUUGACGGAGCGAAGCGACGUCAAAGCGUUCAUUAAAGUCGAGUUGGCUUAGGGAUACGUUCGUUGGGUAGGGGAGCGUUCUGUAAGCCUGUGAAGGUGUGUCGUGAGGCAUGCUGGAGGUAUCAGAAGUGCGAAUGCUGACAUAAGUAACGAUAAAGCGGGUGAAAAGCCCGCUCGCCGGAAGACCAAGGGUUCCUGUCCAACGUUAAUCGGGGCAGGGUGAGUCGACCCCUAAGGCGAGGCCGAAAGGCGUAGUCGAUGGGAAACGGGUUAAUAUUCCCGUACUUGGUGUUACUGCGAAGGGGGACGGAGAAGGCUAUGUUGGCCGGGCGACGGUUGUCCCGGUUUAAGCGUGUAGGUGUGUGUUCCAGGUAAAUCCGGUUCACUUUAACACUGAGGCGUGACGACGAGGCACUACGGUGCUGAAGCAACAAAUGCCCUGCUUCCAGGAAAAGCCUCUAAGCAUCAGGUAACACGAAAUCGUACCCCAAACCGACACAGGUGGUCAGGUAGAGAAUACCAAGGCGCUUGAGAGAACUCGGGUGAAGGAACUAGGCAAAAUGGUGCCGUAACUUCGGGAGAAGGCACGCUGACACGUAGGUGAAGUGAUUUACUCAUGGAGCUGAAGUCAGUCGAAGAUACCAGCUGGCUGCAACUGUUUAUUAAAAACACAGCACUGUGCAAACACGAAAGUGGACGUAUACGGUGUGACGCCUGCCCGGUGCCGGAAGGUUAAUUGAUGGGGUCAGCGUAAGCGAAGCUCCUGAUCGAAGCCCCGGUAAACGGCGGCCGUAACUAUAACGGUCCUAAGGUAGCGAAAUUCCUUGUCGGGUAAGUUCCGACCUGCACGAAUGGCGUAAUGAUGGCCAGGCUGUCUCCACCCGAGACUCAGUGAAAUUGAACUCGCUGUGAAGAUGCAGUGUACCCGCGGCAAGACGGAAAGACCCCGUGAACCUUUACUAUAGCUUGACACUGAACAUUGAGCCUUGAUGUGUAGGAUAGGUGGGAGGCUUUGAAGUGUGGACGCCAGUCUGCAUGGAGCCGACCUUGAAAUACCACCCUUUAAUGUUUGAUGUUCUAACGUGGACCCGUAAUCCGGGUUGCGGACAGUGUCUGGUGGGUAGUUUGACUGGGGCGGUCUCCUCCUAAAGAGUAACGGAGGAGCACGAAGGUUGGCUAAUCCUGGUCGGACAUCAGGAGGUUAGUGCAAUGGCAUAAGCCAGCUUGACUGCGAGCGUGACGGCGCGAGCAGGUGCGAAAGCAGGUCAUAGUGAUCCGGUGGUUCUGAAUGGAAGGGCCAUCGCUCAACGGAUAAAAGGUACUCCGGGGAUAACAGGCUGAUACCGCCCAAGAGUUCAUAUCGACGGCGGUGUUUGGCACCUCGAUGUCGGCUCAUCACAUCCUGGGGCUGAAGUAGGUCCCAAGGGUAUGGCUGUUCGCCAUUUAAAGUGGUACGCGAGCUGGGUUUAGAACGUCGUGAGACAGUUCGGUCCCUAUCUGCCGUGGGCGCUGGAGAACUGAGGGGGGCUGCUCCUAGUACGAGAGGACCGGAGUGGACGCAUCACUGGUGUUCGGGUUGUCAUGCCAAUGGCACUGCCCGGUAGCUAAAUGCGGAAGAGAUAAGUGCUGAAAGCAUCUAAGCACGAAACUUGCCCCGAGAUGAGUUCUCCCUGAGACUUAGAGUCUCCUGAAGGAACGUUGAAGACGACGACGUUGAUAGGCCGGGUGUGUAAGCGCAGCGAUGCGUUGAGCUAACCGGUACUAAUGAACCGUGAGGCUUAACCUUACAACGCCGAAG
rnacentral:rRNA from 2 species